CGGGGAAGGCCGGAUCCUGGGCUGUGUCCCGGCGCCCUGUGCUCCGGUUCCUGCGCUGGUGGAUUCGCGCUCCCAGCCGCGCAGCCCCCU
rnacentral:pre_miRNA from 1 species